UACGUAGGUGGCAAGCGUUGCUCGGAAUCAUUGGGCGUAAAGCGCACGUAGGCGGUCCAGCAAGUCGGGAGUGAAAUCCCUCGGCUUAACCGAGGAAGUGCUUUCGAAACUACUGGACUUGAAUACUGGAGAGGGUUGCGGAAUUCCCGGUGUAGAGGUGAAAUUCGUAGAUAUCGGGAGGAACACCAGUGGCGAAGGCGGCAACCUGGACAGAUAUUGACGCUGAGGUGCGAAAGCGUGGGGAGCAAACAGG
rnacentral:rRNA from 1 species